UUAACUAAAAUUUAUAUGGUGCUGGAACGUCUGCCUACGUUUGCCGCUAGGGGCGCUGUACCAACUGCAUACAAAUCAGAGUUA
rfam:Bombyx mori DNA, contig: Bm_scaf95_contig35105, strain: p50T/Dazao, build 2, whole genome shotgun sequence.